AGAAUCAACGCUGGCGGCGUGCCUAACACAUGCAAGUCGAACGAGAAAGUGGAGCAAUCCAUGAGUAAAGUGGCGCACGGGUGAGUAACACGUGACUAACCUACCCUUGAGUGGGGGAUAACCUAGGGAAACCUGGGCUAAUACCGCAUAAUACCUUCGGGUCAAAGGAGCAAUUCGCUUAAGGAGGGGUCGCGGCCGAUUAGUUAGUUGGCGGGGUAAUGGCCCACCAAGACUAUGAUCGGUAU
rnacentral:rRNA from 1 species